UGAGAAUGUUAGCAACUUGUGUUGCACAUAGUAAAAACUGGAAGGUACCAAGUUUUAUAGAAUGAAAAAGUUUUUUCUUCUGAUCUUCGUUUCCAGUGUCCUUCCUCCCAAAAUGUUCAGUCCAAGUGCACAGGCACACAACUCUCCCUCCCUCUUCUCUGCCACCUGUCUUGUGUCAGGAUUUGGACUCUGGUGUUCUAUCUUAGGCCAUUCCUCAUUAGCAGAGAAGGAAGACUGCAGUUUGCUUGGUAGCUGUGUAGUCUAACUCCGUGUUAUAUAACUAUUCAUGACUUCCUCGCAGGCUUGCAUUACCAUGCGUGGUGCUGCAGUAUGUCCUUGUAUAUUUGGCUUCAUGCAUAUGUUGUCUAAGCAUCUUAAUUGCACGGAAAGAAGCUGGUGCCCACUCUUAGUAAACUGGAUCAUUUACAUAUGCUCCUUCCUUCCCUUCCCUCCUCCAGCCAUCCAUUCAUCCAUCUGUCCGUUUGGAUGUCUGCUCCUCUAUCCAUUCAGUGUGAAGAUUCAGUGAGCAAUCUCAUACGUACCUAAUACCACCUUGGGCUCUGAGAAUAAUGUUCCCGAGACCCUCAUAAUCUUAUGGAACAAAGUGAUCCAUUAAAAAUGAAUCGGCAGAAGUUGGAAUCUAUGCGACUUUCCAGACUACACAGAGGAUAAAAUAAAAAAGCUUGUAGUUGCUAGCACCUGAAUUUUUGGCCUUGAAUAUUUUUCAAACCACAAGCAACUGAUGCCUGUAAUUGUAUAUUUGCAAACCAGACAAAUUAACAAACAGACAAGCACAGAACCUUGCAUGUGGUCCAAACCCCUUGAGUCAUCCUCAGGGUAGUGAGAGUGCAGGUCACCAUCGUGAUCCCGUCUACAGCCAAGCAUCUACCAGCCUGGCACCCCAGCUGUGCCAGGCCCUGCAUCCUUUUACACUUGGUUCCUUACUUUAAGAUGAGUUGAGAGAGCAGGAGUGUCAAUGGGUUGAGAAAUAUUUCUCACUUUUGGCUGAGAAAAAUGAUAACUAAUUGCUUAUGGGAAGGCUAUUUGAAAACAGAUGUGUGAGAGAAUGUCUCUGGCACAUGCAGAUUAUGGUGCCAUUUCAUGUUUGGGACAAGUGUUCCCUGUGGUCAUCGUGGGACAAGUGUUCCCUGUGGUCGUCGUGGGACAGGUGUUCCCUGUGGUCGUCGUGGGACAGGUGUUCCCUGUGGUCGUCGUGGGACAGGUGUUCCCUGUGGUUGUCGUGGGACAGGUGUUCACUGUGGUCAUCGUGUUUCCUUCUUGCCUUUUCUUUUGAGCAGUGAAUCUGAGAGCUUUGUAUUAAAGGACAAAUAAAAUUCUU